UACGUAGGUGACGAGCGUUAUCCGGAAUUAUUGGGCGUAAAGCGCACGCAAGCGGUCUUUCAAGUCUGACGUGAAAUCUCUUGGCUUAACUGGGGAACUGCGUCUGAUACUGAGUGGCUUGAGUGCAGGAGAGGAAUGCGGAAUUCCAGGUGUAGCGGUGAAAUGCGUAGAUAUCUGGAGGAACACCGGUGGCGAAGGCGGCAUUCUGGACUGUAACUGACACUGAGGAACGAAAGCCAGGGGAGCAAACGGG
rnacentral:rRNA from 1 species